ensembl:lncRNA
GAGGAGAUGUUUCUAAGGAUUUUUGGAGGGAAAAGCAAUAUUACACAAGAAAACCACAUUUUCUCUUGUUUGUUACCAAAAUAUCUAGAGAAGCCAUAUCCACCUGCCUUUUUGUGGCUAACAGGGGUCUGAGCCCAUAAACUGACUGAGGAACAAAUCUUGUCCGUCGGGGGAGAAAACCAGUCAGCUGGGGGUUAAGUGGAUGGGAGGGUGGAGACGCCUCAGGAAAAACCUGCCAGAGCUGUAAAGGGUCAGAGCUUCAAACGGGAGUGAAAAAGCAGGGGGAAGUUAGAACUGAGCUCUCUUGCUUUCAAAUUCAAAAAUUUUCAGAUUUGCUUCAAACGUAUACUUAAGAACUCUAGGGGCCAGCCCUGUGGCCCGGUGGCCGAGUGGUUAAGUUCACACGCUCCGCUUAGAUGGCCCACGGUUUUGCCAGUUUGGAUCCUGGGCACGGACCUAGCACCACUCGUCAGGCCAUGCUGAGGUGGCGUCCCACAUAGCACAACUAGAAGGACCUACAACGAAGAUAUACAACUACAUACUAGGGGGCUUUGGGGAGAAAAAGAAGAAGAAAAAAAGAGAUUGGCAACAGAUGUUAGCUCAUGGCCAAUCUUAAAAAAAAACACCUCUAAUCCGUAAAAAUCUCCAUCCUUGAACUGGAAGGAGAACACGUGCAUGGAAGCGCAUGAAAGCUCUGAAGAGACGCUACCAAACUGACAGGAGAGUUAUCUGCUGGGAAGCCGGAGCAGGCCAGGUGUUCAAGCAAGAGCAGGUAAAUAUUUCAAAACAUGAUAGUCCAGCAAGGAAAGCAGGGACUGGAAAGAGAAAUUAAUGCACAAGGACUUUGUGAUGGAGAAGAUAGGGAGAUGCUUCAGGCGGUCCCCCAACGAGACUGGAAACAGAUCUGCCCCUUGCCCUCACCUGCAGGCAGCGAGACGCCAGCGAAGGGCUGGUUGUGCAGGAGGAAGGGAGCGUUGGCCAUAAGACGGGGGCCCAAGGAAUGGAGAGGAGCCGAGUGGUAAAGGGACAGCCCAGCACCCAGGAAUAGGUUUCAGGAAUUUUAAAAUAAUUUAAGCUGUGAUUUGUUAAUAUCCAGUGGCAUUUGCAUAUGAUUGAAGCUGUUCAUGAAAGAUACCAGAAAUGUUAAUAUUUGAUUACAAAAUCACUCAUGUGGGUCUAUUUCAUGUCAAUUCUCAUAAAUAAGCUUGUAUUUAUCUAUUUACUACUCUCUCUCCCCCAUCCCACCUCAAGAACAGGACACUGGAUCCCUCUUUCUCCUGGAUCAUCUUCUCUCCUGGAUCACCUUCUCUCCUGGAUCACCCUCUCUCCUGGAUCGCCCUCUGUCCUGGAUCACCCUCUCUCCUGGAUCAUCUUCUCUCCUGGAUCACCCACUCUCCUGGAUCACCCUCUCUCCUGGAUCACCUUCUCUCCUGGAUCACCUUCUCUCCUGGAUCACCCUCUCUCCUGGAUCGCCCUCUCUCCUGGAUCACCCUCUCUCCUGGAUCAUCUUCUCUCCUGGAUCACCCACUCUCCUGGAUCACCCUCUCUCCUGGAUCAUCUUCUCUCCUGGAUCACCCUCUCUCCUGGAUCACUCUCUCUCCUGGAUCACCCUCUCUCCUGAAUUACCCUCUCUCCUGGAUCACCCUCUCUCCUGGAU